rnacentral:rRNA from 1 species
GAACAAGCUACAUAGAGUACGAGGUGAAUGCCUAGGCGCUCUUGGCCGAAGAAGGACGCGGAGACCGGCGAAACGUUCAGGGGGAGCUGCAUGCAAGCGAUGAGCCCUGAGACUCCCAAUGGGGCAACCCCUCCAGAGUGAUGUCUGGAGACCUGCUGGUGAACACAUAGCCUGCAGGGGGGCAGCGGGUGAACUGAAACAUCUCAGUAGCCCGACGAGAAGAAAUCAAUUGAGAUUCCCGGAGUAGUGGCGAGCGAAACGGGAGGAGCCCAAACCAUCUGAUCGUUUGAUCGGGUGGGGUUGUAGGACCCACAACACGAAUGGAUCGACGACCUGAAUGUGCUGGAAAGCACAACCAGAGCGGGUGAUAGUCCUGUAAGGCAUGAUGAUGCAUUCCGGUGGGUAUCCUGAGUACCGGGCUGAUGGCGUGCCUUUUGUAGAAUGAUCCGGCGAGUGCAUCGUCGUAGCAGGUUAACCUCCGCUAAAGGAGGGCAGCCACAGGGCAACCGAGUCUGAAACAGGCGUGUGUUGCGAGGAUGCGACCCGAAACCACGUGAGCUCUCCAUGAGCAGAGUGAAGCGGCCCUGACAGGCCGUCGAGGCUCGAACCCACCAGUGUUGCAAAACUGGGGGAGGACUUGUGGAGAGGGGAGAAAUUCCAACCGAACGUGGAGAUAGCUGGUUCUCCCCGAAAUGCAUUGAGGUGCAGCCACGGGCGAAUGGUUCUGGAGGUAGAGCGCUGCAUGAGCUAGGGGCCAGGUGCUGGUUACCGAACUCAAGCAAACUGCGAAUGCCAGAACCGCAUACCCGUGAGUGAGACGAUGGGGGCUAAGCUUCAUCGUCGAAAGGGAAACAACCCAGAUCAUCAGCUAAGGUCUCAAAAUCGAUGCUCAGUGUCAAAGGGAGUUCAUCCGCCACAACAGCCAGGAUGUUGGCUUAGAAGCAGCCAUCAUUGAAAGAGUGCGUAAGAGCUCACUGGUCGAGUGGAUGGGCACCGACAACGUAACGAGGCUCAAGCAUCGUACCGAAGCUAUGAAUCCCUGGUGUGAAACCAGGGAUGGUAGGGGAGCGUUCUUGUCGCAGAGAAGCCAGAUCGUGAGGACUGGUGGAGUGACAAGAAGUGAGAAUGCCGGAAUGAGUAGCGUAAUGCGUGUAUGAACCACGCACACCGGAAGCCUGAGGGUUCCUGGGCAACGUCAGACGACCCAGGGUCAGUCGGGUCCUAAGCCGAGGACGUCAUAGUCGUAGGCGAUGGAAAGCAGGUAGAAAGUCCUGCACCGGAGCAGAUCACAAUGAGUGAUGAGGGGACGCGGUAAGGAAGGUGAGCCCAUCGAAUGGACAGGAUGGGUGUGCCGCACGAAGUGCGUGACCGAGGCAAAUCCCGGUCGCAUGAGCAUGACGACGGUACCGAGCGGGCGUAAGCUCGCGGAAGUCAUCGACCCCUAUGCUGCCAAGAAAAGCCUCUAACCAGAUCUCGCUCUGCCCGUACCGCAAACCGACACCGGUAGGCUGGGGGAACUCCCCCAAGGUGAACGAGCGAACCUCUGUCAAGGAACUCGGCAAAUUGACCCCGUACCUUCGGAAGAAGGGGUGCCCUAGUAACGUGACCGAUAUGGAAGCGUGAGGGGGCCGCAGUAAAUCGGCUCAAGCGACUGUUUACCAAAAACACAGGUCUCUGCGAACACGCAAGUGGAAGUAUAGGGGCUGACUCCUGCCCAGUGCCGGAAGGUCAAGAGGAGUGGUGCACGUAGCCACGAAUCUAAGCCCCGGUGAACGGCGGCCGUAACUAUAACGGUCCUAAGGUAGCGAAAUUCCUUGUCGGGUAAGUUCCGACCCGCACGAAAGGAGUAACGACUUGAGCGCUGUCUCGACAGGGGGCUCGGCGAAAUUGAAGUACCCGUGAAGAUACGGGUUACCCACGACAGGACAAAAAGACCCCGUGGAGCUUUACUACACCCUGGCCUUGAGCUGAGGUACACGUUACGUAGCAUAGGUGGGAGCCGGAGAACCCUCUUUUGUGGAAGAGGGGGAGGCACACAUGAAAUACCACUUUUCGUAUAGCUUAUCUCUCAGGCACAACCGUGAUCCGGUGUGCUCACAGGACCAGGCGGGUAGUUUGACUGGGGCGGUCGCCUCCCAAAGAGUAACGGAGGCGCUCAAAGGUUCUCUCAGGGUGGAUGGACAUCACCCUUACAGAGUGUAAAGGCACAAGAGAGCUUGACUGCGAGGCAAACAGGCCGAGCAGGGACGAAAGUCGGACUUAGUGAUCCCACAUUCCCGAGUGGAAGGAGUGUGGCUCAACGGAUAAAAGCUACCCCGGGGAUAACAGGCUUA